GACGAACGCUGGCGGCGUGCUUAACACAUGCAAGUCGAACGGAAAGGCCCUGCUUUUGUGGGGUGCUCGCGUGGCGAACGGGUGAGUAACACGUGAGUAACCUGCCCUUGACUUUGGGAUAACUUCAGGAAACUGGGGCUAAUACCGGAUAGGAGCUCCUGCUGCAUGGUGGGGGUUGGAAAGUUUCGGCGGUUGGGGAUGGACUCGGGGCUUAUCAGCUUGUUGGUGGGGUAGUGGCUUACCAAGGCUUUGACGGAUAGCCGGCCUGAGAGGGUGACCGGCCACAUUGGGACUGAGAGACGGCGCAGACUCCUACGGGAGGCAGCAGUGGGGAAUAUUGCACAAUGGGCGGAAGCCUGAUGCAGCGACGCCGCGUGCGGGAUGACGGCCUUCGGGUUGUAAACCGCUGUCGCCUGUGACGAAGCGUGAGUGACGGUAAUGGGUAAAGAAGCACCGGCUAACUACGUG
rnacentral:rRNA from 1 species